rnacentral:rRNA from 1 species
AUACGUAGGGGGCGAGCGUUGUCCGGAAUGACUGGGCGUAAAGGGCGUGUAGGCGGCGGAUUAAGUCUGGAGUGAAAGUCCUGUUUUUAAGAUGGGAAUUGCUUUGGAUACUGUCGGGCUUGAGGGCAGGAGAGGUAAGUGGAAUUCCCAGUGUAGCGGUGAAAUGCGUAGAGAUUGGGAGGAACACCAGUGGCGAAGGCGACUUACUGGACUGUAACUGACGCUGAGGCGCGAAAGUGUGGGGAGCAAACAGGAUUAGAUACCCUGGUAGUCCACACUGUAAACGAUGAAUGCUAGGUGUAGGGGGUAUCGACCCCUUCUGUGCCGCAGUCAACACAAUAAGCAUUCCGCCUGGGGAGUACGGCCGCAAGGUUGAAACUCAAAUGAAUUGACGGGG